rnacentral:lncRNA from 1 species
AUUUUUGUCGAGCCUGCAACUUUUGUUGCAGAAAGCUCGACAUAGGGAUAGUGAUCCGGCGGCGGCGGCGGUGUUAGCUCACUUCUUAAAAGCUAUAUAUUUUAGAAGAUGGAAGACCUGGAUGCUUCAUAUUUUGUAUAUAGAUGCCUCAUGUUACGAAGUUUCCGUCAGUCACAUGUCCAUUGUCCUUGACCUCAUUUUCAUGGUUCAGUGACCACUUGAAAAAAAAGUUCAGAUUUUUUGCAAUGUUAAAUUCUCUCUUACUGUAAGUAAUAGGAUAACUAUAUUUAGUAUGUGCGUACCUUGCAAGGUCCUCAUGCCCGUCAGACAGUUUUCACUUGACCUCAACCUCAUUUCAUGGAUCAGUGAACAAGGUUAAGUUUUGGUGGUCAAGUCCAUAUCUCAGAUACUAUAAGCAAUAGGUCUAGUAUAUUCGGUGUAUGGAAGGACUGUAAGGUGUACAUGUCCAACUGGCAGGUGUCAUCUGACCUUGACCUCAUUUUCAUGGUUCAGUGGUUAUACUUAAGUUUUGUGUUUUGGUCUGUUUUUCUCAUACUUUAUGCAAUAGGUCUACUAUAUUUGUUGUAUGGAAUGAUUGUAAGGUGUACAUGUCUAGCGGGCAGAUGUCAUCUGUUUUCAUGGUUCAGUGGUUAUAGUUAAGUUUUUGUGUUUUGGUCUGUUUUUCUCAUACUUUAUGCAAUAGGUUUACUAUAUUUGUUGUAUGGAAUGAUUGUAAGGUGUACAUGUCUAGCGGGCAGACGUCAUCUGACCUUGACCUCAUUUUCAUGGUUCAGUGGUCAAAGUUAAGUUUUUGAGUUUUGGUCUUUUUAUCUAAUACUAUAUGUCAUAGGUCUACUAUAUUUUGUGUAUGGAAAUAUUUUAUGAUCUAUAUGUCAGUCGUGCAGGUUUUAUUUGACCUUGACCUGGUUUUCAAGGUUCAUUGCUCAGUGUUAAGUUUUUGUGUUUUGGUCUAUUUUCUUAAACUAUAAGCAAUAGGUCAACUAUAUUUGUUGUAUGAAAGCAUUGUUAGCUGUACAUGUCUGUCUGGCAUAUGGUUCAACUGACCUUGACCUCAUUUUCAUGAUUCAUGUUAAGUCUAUGUGACAGUCGUAAUAAAGCUUUAGAUUUAGGAG